AUGUCAUAUGGAAUAGCCUCAUUUAUUUUGACAAAAACCAGUCUUCAUGCUGUGAUGGUAAUGGAAUCUUUCAAGCAUGCUAUGCUGGUUUGGAAGCCUUUGCACCCUGGCAGAACCAAACAACUGAUGCUGGCAGCUUUAUCAUUUUGGAGAACAAUGACAUUUAAUUUUCUUGACACAAAACCAAUUGUGAUAAAGUCACAAUGCAAAAUCUUUUGUCUUGGGAAAGAAGCAAAGAUAAAAUGGCAAAGUAUACUGGUUUUAAAAAGCUUUUCUUCAUAUUCUUGGAAAGCAAUUUGACUUCUUUCCUACUCCCCUGAACUUCCUGUUCUUCAUGAAUAACCUCCUAACAGGUACUGGAAGGCCGAAAUGGACUUGGUGUGCACCUAAGACAGAGCUGGACAGAGCUGUACUGCUGAACUCUCUAGGGCGAUUGGAAUCCUGGAAAACUGGGAAAAGUAGAAAAUAAACCUUAAGCUGGAGAAAAAAGGAGAAAACUA
ensembl:lncRNA